CAACGCAACAGGGGAAGGAGAAGAGAAGCGUACUGAAACCUUUACGGUAACUCCGAACGCCGUAACUCCUCCGUCCGAGUUCCGAUCGCCACACCAUUUACGGCCACGUGAUCACCGCGUCGAGCUCUACACUUCUACUAGAACAAUUUCAUUGGAUCCAAUUAGCUUGAGAAAAACGUUCACUCUUGCUUAUGUGAAGCUCGGGUAAGAUGUAGGUCGAGAGGCGUCUCUUUAGGCGUCUGGGCUCCUGAAGCGAAGUGAUUACUGGGUUAUUUUGUUAUACAGUGAUGUAUAUAUAUGUACUUAGCUCUCUCUCCGCAUAACUUGUUCUUUUGAUCCUCUUAGAGCUUUAUGGAGAGACAGGAUUUUGUUUAUGUACAUUUGGGUUUUGAAUAUGUAAAUAUAAGUGUGUAAAUAUUUUCCGGCCAGCCUAGACUUCGCGGGCUAGGUUAAUUAGAAGCUUGUUAUUUUGUAUCUUUGACUCUC